rnacentral:rRNA from 1 species
UACGAGGGGGGCAAAUGUUGUUCGGAAUCACUGGGUGUAAAGGGAGCGUAGGCGGGUUUUUAAGUCAGGUGUUUAAUCCCGGGGCCCAACCCCGGACAGGCACUUGAAACUGGGAAUCUUGAAUAGGGGAGAGGUCGGUGGAAUUGGAGGUGUAGCGGUGGAAUGCGUAGAGAUCUCCAAGAACACCCGUUGCGAAGGCGGCCGACUGGACCCAUAUUGACGCUGAGGCUCGAAAGCAUGGGGAGCAAACAGG